rnacentral:rRNA from 1 species
AUUGAACGCUGGCGGCAGGCCUAACACAUGCAAGUCGAGCGGAUGAAGGGAGCUUGCUCCUGGAUUCAGCGGCGGACGGGUGAGUAAUGCCUAGGAAUCUGCCUGGUAGUGGGGGAUAACGUCCGGAAACGGGCGCUAAUACCGCAUACGUCCUGAGGGAGAAAGUGGGGGAUCUUCGGACCUCACGCUAUCAGAUGAGCCUAGGUCGGAUUAGCUAGUUGGUGGGGUAAAGGCCUACCAAGGCGACGAUCCGUAACUGGUAUGAGAAGAUGACCAGUCACACUGGAACUGAGACACGGUCCAGACUCCUACGGGAGGCAGCAGUGGGGAAUAUUGGACAAUGGGCGAAAGCCUGAUCCAGCCAUGCCGCGUGUGUGAAGAAGGUCUUCGGAUUGUAAAGCACUUUAAGUUGGGAGGAAGGGCAGUAAGUUAAUACCUUGCUGUUUUGACGUUACCAACAGAAUAAGCACCGGCUAACUUCGUG